CUUAAAGACUUCCCAGGGUAUUUCAAAAUGUGUAUUUUGAACCUUGGCUUGGGAUCAUUUUUCCGCUAGCUUGUGCAAAGUGUAGUGGUAUUAAGCAUUUUAUUCUGCCAUUUUCACACACUAAGUGAGUUUGCACAGUAUAUUUUGCAAACCUUGUGUGCUACGGCUGUAUAAUUCAUAUGUUGCUUAGCUAUGUCAUCUGAGUACAGGAAUACCCCCAUGUCUCAUUGACC